rnacentral:rRNA from 1 species
UAGGGAAUCUUCCGCAAUGGACGAAAGUCUGACGGAGCAACGCCGCGUGAGUGAUGAAGGCUUUCGGGUCGUAAAACUCUGUUGUUAGGGAAGAACAAGUACGAGAGUAACUGCUCGUACCUUGACGGUACCUAACCAGAAAGCCACGGCUAGCUACGUG